CGCACAACGUGCGCGCGCGCACUCUGUCUGGCCAGGCGGAGCCGCUGGUUGGUGGAGGCUCGCGGGGCGCGCUCCCGAGCGCCCUCGCGACCGGAAGUGCGCGCUCGGGGGUAGGCGGGAAGGCCGCGGCGGGAUUAAUUAAAGACCCGAUCAAGCGGCCCGCAGAGGGGCGUGACCUUGUUUCCUCAGGAGUGUGGCGGUGGUCUUACUACUAUGUUCGUUAUAGCGCGGUACGUUCUAGACCCUUCUAUAGGAAAUUUAAAACCUUUAAAAUGUGUAUUUCCUUCCUCCAGUCAGUGACCACGGGGGCGUCUCCAUGAGAUUAAGACAAAGAUUAUAAUAGAGUUCCAGACUAUCCUGGGCAACAUAGCAAGACCUCGUCUCUACAAAAAAUCAAAAAUAGGCCAGGCUUGUUGGCCUGCCCCUGUGGUCCCAGCUACUCGGGAGGCUGAGGAGGAAGAUUCACUUGAGCCUGGGAGGUGGAGGCUGUAGUGAGCCAGAGAUCGCACCACUACACUGCAGCCUGGGCAACAGAGCGAGAUGCCGUCUCAAAAAAAAAAAAAAAAAAAAGGAAAAGGAUAAUACAAGCUUUAAAUAAAACUAGUGUUUAAGAAGCUUCACAGUAGGUUGUUAUUCAAAACAAAAGACUGAAGGGAGUCUGGGCUGAGGGAAGUAGCUAAAGCUAACAGAAAACACAAAUCGAAGUGUAUGUUUUGCAUGUUUUGCGCAGCUGCUGUGGAAGGUGAAGCAGGCCCUACAUUCCUGGAAGAUCUCUUGAUUAAAAACUUAUGGAGGAAGUUACAGACAAAAUGUGCAGCUCAUCCAAAAUAGCUGAGUAGUUGGCAAGAACCAAGCCUGAAGCGCAGCUGUCCUUUCUAACUGAAACCUAAAAUUGUUGGGCUCUUAAU
rnacentral:lncRNA from 1 species